rnacentral:rRNA from 1 species
GACGAACGCUGGCGGCGUGCCUAACACAUGCAAGUCGAACGGAACUGUUUUGAAAGAUUUCUUCGGAAUGAAUUUGAUUUAGUUUAGUGGCGGACGGGUGAGUAAUGCGUGAGUAACCUGCCUUCAAGAGGGGAAUAACAUUCUGAAAAGAAUGCUAAUACCGCAUGACAUAUCGGAACCACAUGGUUUUGAUAUCAAAGAUUUUAUCGCUUGAAGAUGGACUCGCGUCCGAUUAGUUAGUUGGUGAGGUAACGGCUCACCAAGACCGCGAUCGGUAGCCGGACUGAGAGGUUGAACGGCCACAUUGGGACUGAGACACGGCACAGACUCCUACGGGAGGCAGCAGUGGGGGAUAUUGCGCAAUGGGGGCAACCCUGACGCAGCAACGCCGCGUGAAGGAUGAAGGUUUUCGGAUUGUAAACUUCUUUUAUUAAGGACGAAAAAUGACGGUACUUAAUGAAUAAGCGCCGGCUAACUACGUG